GAUUAACGCUGGCGGCGUGCAUAACACAUGCAAGUCGAACGAAGUGGCGGACGGGUGAGUAACGCGUGAGUAACCUGCCUUAGAGAAGGGGAUAGCCUUUGGAAACGAAGAAUAAUACCCUAUGCUCUAGGAUGGACUUGCGUCUGAUUAGUUAGUUGGUGAGGUAACGGCUCACCAAGACAGCGAUCAGUAGCCGGCUUGAGAGAGUGGCCGGCCACCUUGGGACUGGGACACGGCCCAGACUCUACGGGAGGCAGCAGUGGGGAAUUUUGCACAAUGGGGGAAACCCUGAUGCAGCGACGCCGCGUGAUUUAGAAGGCCUUCGGGUUGUAAAAAGCUUUUCUAUGGGAAGCAGUACCAUAGGAAUAAGGACCGGCUAAUUACGUGCCAGCAGCCGCGGUAAUUC
rnacentral:rRNA from 1 species